rnacentral:rRNA from 1 species
GAUCCUGGCUCAGGAUGAACGCUAGCGACAGGCUUAACACAUGCAAGUCGAGGGGCAUCAUGAGGUAGCAAUACCUUGAUGGCGACCGGCGCACGGGUGAGUAACGCGUAUGCAACCUGCCCGAGUACCGGGGUAUAGCCCAUAGGAAACGUGGAUUAACCACCCCAUAGUUACUUUUAUCCUGCAUGGGAUGGGAGUUAAAUGUUCAAGGUAUCGGAGUGGGCAUGCGUCCUAUUAGUUAGG